AACACUGGGUAGAUUAGUAGUAUUGAACUCAUAUCGUAUUUGGAUACGUAUUAUGUUAUUACUUGUGAAUAUGUUUAAUUGGAGAGAUUAUUGAGAGAUGAUCAUGGUAUGGGACAUGGAUCAUUUUAUGAAAUGCAUGAGUAUUCAUUAUUUUCCGCUGCAAACGCAUAUGCUUGAAUAUUCAUGAUAAGUGAAAUGUGUUAUUUGAAA
rnacentral:lncRNA from 1 species